AAGUCGUAACAAGGUUUCCGUAGGUGAACCUGCGGAAGGAUCAUUAACAAAAGAGGAAGGAAAGGGGGCGGGCGCAAGCUCUCCGUCUUUCGUCUUUCCACGAUCCUCAAUGUAUUCACCCCAGAUUCCUUAAAACUCGAAAAAAUUAAAAGACACCUCGCUUAUUAGGUGGCGAUUAAUAAAUGCGCAAAGCGAAAACUUUCAACAACGGAUCUCUUGGCUCUC
rnacentral:misc_RNA from 1 species